GAAAGGACCGCUGCCAGUGCAGCCAAGACGGAGAGCUCCAGCGGUGCGCCUGCGCACUAACCCCAGCGGGCCCUAGCAACCAGAGCAGUGACGGUAGCAACCGCCAGAAUGGCAAAAGCAACAACAAUCAAAGAAGCCCUGUCCAAAUGGG